UGAACGCUGGCGGCGUGCCUAAUACAUGCAAGUCGAGCGAACAGACGAGGAGCUUGCUCCUCUGACGUUAGCGGCGGACGGGUGAGUAACACGUGGAUAACCUACCUAUAAGACUGGGAUAACUUCAGGAAACCGGAGCUAAUACCGGAUAAUAUAUUGAACCGCAUGGUUCAAUAGUGAAAGACGGUUUUGCUGUCACUUAUAGAUGGAUCCGCGCCGCAUUAGCUAGUUGGUAAGGUAACGGCUUACCAAGGCAACGAUGCGUAGCCGACCUGAGAGGGUGAUCGGCCACACUGGAACUGAGACACGGUCCAGACUCCUACGGGAGGCAGCAGUAGGGAAUCUUCCGCAAUGGGCGAAAGCUUGACGGAGCAACGCCGCGUGAGUGAUGAAGGUCUUCGGAUCGUAAAACUCUGUUAUUAGGGAAGAACAAAUGUGUAAGUAACUAUGCACGUCUUGACGGUACCUAAUCAGAAAGCCACGGCUAACUACGUG
rnacentral:rRNA from 1 species